GAUGAACGCUGGCGGCGUGCCUAAUACAUGCAAGUCGAGCGAACGGACGAGAAUCUGGCUUCUCUGAUGUUAUCGGCGGACGGGUGAUUAACACGUGUAUAACCUACCUAUAGGACUGGGAUAACUUCGGGAAACCGGAGCUAAGACGGGAUGAUAUUUUGAACCGCAUGGUUCAAAAGUUAGAGACGGUCUUGCGGUCACUUAUAGAUGGAUCAGCGCUGCAUGAGCUAGUUGGUAAGGUAACGGCUUACCAAGGCAACGAUGCAUAGCCGACCUGAGAGGGUGAUUCGAUACACUGGAAGAGAGAAUGGUUCCACACUCUGACGCUAGGACGCAGCACGGACUCCUACGCAAUGGGGGAAUGGCUGACGGAGCAACGUCGCGUCAGUGCUGAUGGAGUCAGGCCCGGAAAGCGAUGUAAGCCGUGGAGAACAUAUGUGCAAGCAACUGUGAACAUAUUGACGGUACCUACUCAAAAAGCCCCGGCUAACUACGUG
rnacentral:rRNA from 1 species